rnacentral:misc_RNA from 1 species
AUUUGGUUCAAACCAAAUAGUACUCACCCCUAAUUUCUUACAUAGCUUGAACACAACAGGAGCUUAUAGGACAGCUUAUUCAAAUAUGUUACAAAUCACACACCAACUACUUUAAACCAUAUAACUUCAGUAAUUAUCCUAAUUUUCAAUGCAUGAAAUGCAAGAUUAAUUCCACACUGCAUGACUGCAGAGUAAUAAUUUCCUUCUCUUAAUUAUUCUUGGUAAAUUGUAGCGUCAUCUAUCCCUUCAAAGUUACUGAGAAAGGAUUUCUUUUUUGGUGGCUUCUCUACUUCAAAACCUACAUAAUUAUGGUAUAUGGACAAAUCAGGCCUUGGUUCAAAAUUGUUAACAAAUGAUUUCUCAUCUAAUGGCUUUUUGGCUUUGAAACCAACAUCAUUGUGGUAAAUUGUCGCGUCAGGUCUCGACUCAUGUUCUUCCUUGAAAAAUGAUUUCGAUGGUUUCUCGGCUUCAAGAACAAUAUCGUUAUGGUAGAUUGAGACAUCAGGUACUGGCUCAAACUUUUGAAGAGAGUACGUCUCAUGCAAUGUUUUCUUUGUUUGCAGACCAAUAUCAGAUCUCGGCUCCACAUUCUUGCUCAUGUGACAAUCGGUUUUCUUAUUAGAGGCAGAUGAGGCUGGAGAAGCUUGAAGAAGCUUUUGUAUUGCUUCUGGCAGAGGUUGAUCUUUCGUCACUCCUCUCCAAUACUCGUCCAUAUCUUUUCUUGCAUCGGUGGUGCUCAAAAUCUGCAAGAGAGGUAUGAAAAGAGGGAGAAAAGCAAAGAAGGAUUUCAUGUUUUCUAUCACAAAAU